AGACAGAUCAGGUACAUUGAAUCU
rnacentral:miRNA from 1 species